AUACGGAGGAUCCAAGCGUUAUCCGGAUUUAUUGGGUUUAAAGGGUGCGCAGGCGGCCUUAUAAGUCAGUGGUGAAAUCUCCCGGCUCAACCGGGAAACUGCCAUUGAUACUGUAGGGCUAGAAUACAGACGAGGUAGGCGGAAUGUAGCAUGUAGCGGUGAAAUGCUUAGAUAUGCUACAGAACACCGAUCGCGAAGGCAGCUUACCAGACUGUAAUUGACGCUAAGGCACGAAAGCGUGGGGAGCGAACAGGAUUAGAAACCCCGGUAGUCC
rnacentral:rRNA from 1 species